rnacentral:misc_RNA from 1 species
UCGUAACAAGGUCUCCGUUGGUGAACCAGCGGAGGGAUCAUUACCGAGUUUACAACUCCCAAACCCCUGUGAACAUACCUUAUGUUGCCUCGGCGGAUCAGCCCGCGCCCCGUAAAAAGGGACGGCCCGCCGCAGGAACCCUAAACUCUGUUUUUAGUGGAACUUCUGAGUAUAAAAAACAAAUAAAUCAAAACUUUCAACAACGGAUCUCUUGGUUCUGGCAUCGAUGAAGAACGCAGCAAAAUGCGAUAAGUAAUGUGAAUUGCAGAAUUCAGUGAAUCAUCGAAUCUUUGAACGCACAUUGCGCCCGCCAGUAUUCUGGCGGGCAUGCCUGUUCGAGCGUCAUUUCAACCCUCAAGCCCAGCUUGGUGUUGGGAGCUGCAGUCCUGCUGCACUCCCCAAAUACAUUGGCGGUCACGUCGAGCUUCCAUAGCGUAGUAAUUUACACAUCGUUACUGGUAAUCGUCGCGGCCACGCCGUUAAACCCCAACUUCUGAAUGUUGACCUCGGAUCAGGUAGGAAUACCCGCUGAACUUAAGCAUAUCAAUAAGCGGAGGAAAAGAAACCAACAGGGAUUGCCCUAGUAACGGCGAGUGAAGCGGCAACAGCUCAAAUUUGAAAUCUGGCUUUCGGGCCCGAGUUGUAAUUUGUAGAGGAUGAUUUUGAUGCGGUGCCUUCCGAGUUCCCUGGAACGGGACGCCAUAGAGGGUGAGAGCCCCGUCUGGUUGGAUGCCAAAUCUCUGUA